AGGUAAUUACCGCCGGGUAACGUCUGCUUUCAUUCCGUCAGGCCAUAGCAGGAAUGGAGCCAGACGAUCUUUAUUU
rnacentral:ncRNA from 1 species